rnacentral:rRNA from 1 species
GACGAACGCUGGCGGCGUGCUUAACACAUGCAAGUCGAACGGAAAGGCCCUGCUUUUGUGGGGUGCUCGAGUGGCGAACGGGUGAGUAACACGUGAGUAACCUGCCCUUGACUUUGGGAUAACUUCAGGAAACUGGGGCUAAUACCGGAUAGGAGCUCCUGCUGCAUGGUGGGGGUUGGAAAGUUUCGGCGGUUGGGGAUGGACUCGCGGCUUAUCAGCUUGUUGGUGGGGUAGUGGCUUACCAAGGCUUUGACGGGUAGCCGGCCUGGGAGGGUGACCGGCCACAUUGGGACUGAGAUACGGCCCAGACUCCUACGGGAGGCAGCAGUGGGGAAUAUUGCACAAUGGGCGGAAGCCUGAUGCAGCAACGCCGCGUGUGGGAUGACGUCCUUCGGGUUGUAAACCGCUUUCGCCUGUGACGAAGCGUGAGUGACGGUAAUGGGUAAAGAAGCACCGGCUAACUACGUG